GACGAACGCUGGCGGCGUGCUUAACACAUGCAAGUCGAACGGAAAGGCCCUGCUUUUGUGGGGUGCUCGAGUGGCGAACGGGUGAGUAACAAGUGAGUAACCUGCCUUUGACUUUGGGAUAACUUCAGGAAACUGGGGCUAAUACCGGAUAGGAGCUCCUGCUGCACGGUGGGGGUUGGAAAGUUUCGGCGGUCGGGGAUGGACUCGCGGCUUAUCAGCUCGUUGGUGGGGGAGUGGCUUACCAAGGCUCUGACGGGUAGCCGGCCUGAGAGGGGGACCAGCCACAUGGGGACUAAGGUACGGCCCAGACUCCUACGGGAGGCAGCAGUGGGGAAUAUUACACAGUGGGCGGAAGCCUGAUGCAGCGACGCCGCGUGCGGGAUGACGGCCUUCGGGUUGUAAACCGCUUUCGCCUGUGACGAAGCGUGAGUGACGGUAAUGGGUAAAGAAGCACCGGCUAACUACGUG
rnacentral:rRNA from 1 species